rnacentral:rRNA from 1 species
GAUGAACGCUGACGGCAUGCCUAACACAUGCAAGUCGAUCGGUAAGGCUCUUCGGAGUACACGAGAGGCGGACGGCUGAGUAACGCGUAGGAACACACCCUGCAGUGAGGGAUAAGACACCGAAAGGUGUUCUAAUACCGCAUACGGUCUUCGGAUUAAAGCAUUUAUGCGCUGAAGGAGUGGCCUGCGUCAUAUUAGAUAGUUGGUGAGGUAAUGGCUCACCAAGUCGAUGAUGUGUAGCUGGUCUGAGAGGAUGAUCAGCCAGACUGGAACUGAGACACGGUCCAGACUCCUACGGGAGGCAGCAGUGAGGAAUAUUUCACAAUGAGCGAAAGCUUGAUGGAGCAAUGCCGCGUGCAGGAUGAAGGCCCUCGGGUUGUAAACUGCUUUUAUAAGAGAAGAUUAUGACGGUAACUUAUGAAUAAGGGACGGCUAACUACGUG